AUCAUCCUACGGGAGGCAGCAGUGGGGGAUAUUGCACAAUGGGGGAAACCCUGAUGCAGCGACGCCGCGUGGGCGAAGAAGUAUUUCGGUAUGUAAAGCCCUAUCAGCAGGGAAGAAGAAAUGACGGUACCUGAGUAAGAAGCACCGGCUAAAUACGUGCCAGCAGCCGCGGUAAUACGUAUGGUGCAAGCGUUAUCCGGAUUUACUGGGUGUAAAGGGAGCGUAGACGGCGAAGAAAGUCUGAAGUGAAAGCCCGCGGCUUAACCGCGGAACUGCUUUGGAAACUUUUUUGCUGGAGUACCGGG
rnacentral:rRNA from 1 species